rnacentral:rRNA from 1 species
AUUGAACGCUGGCGGCAGGCCUAACACAUGCAAGUCGAGCGGAGCGGCGGACGGGUGAGGAAUGCAUAGGAAUCUGACAGGGAGUGGGGGAUAACGUCCGGAAACGGGCGCUAAUACCGCAUACUAUCAGAAUAGCCUUGGUCGGAUUAGGUAGAUGGUGGGGUAAAGGUCCACCAAGGCGACGAUCCGUAACUGGUCUGAGAGGAUGAUCAGUCACACUGGAACUGAGACACGGUCCAGACUCCUACGGGAGGCAGCAGUGGGGAAUAUUGGACAAUGGGCUACAGCCUGAUCCAGCCGUGCCGCGUGUGUUAAGAAGGUCUUCGGGUUGUAAAGCACUUUAAGGUGGGAGGCGUUACCAGCAGAAUAAGCGCCGGCUAACUUCGUGCCAGCAGCCGCGGUAAUAC